AGAGUUUGAUCAUGGCUCAGAAUCAACGCUGGCGGCGCGCUUAACACAUGCAAGUCGAACGAGAAAGGGGAGCAAUCCCUGAGUAAAGUGGCGUACGGGUGAGUAACACGUGGAUCAUCUACCCUCUUGUGGGGAAUACCGCUGGGAAACCGGCGACAAUACCGCAUAAGCUCGAGAGAGGAAAGCCGAAAGGCGCUGGAGGAGGAGUCCGCGGUCGAUUAGUUAGUUGGCAGGGUAAAAGCCUACCAAGACUGUGAUCGAUAGCCGGCCUGAGAGGGCACACGGCCACACUGGCACUGAAACACGGGCCAGACUCCUACGGGAGGCAGCAGUGGGGAAUCUUGCACAAUGGGGGCAACCCUGAUGCAGCGACGCCGCGUGAGUGAUGAAGCCCUUCGGGGCGUAAAGCUCUUUCGGCAGGGACGAUUAUGACGGUACCUGCAGAAGCAGCUGCGGCUAACUACGUGCCAGCAGCCGCGGUAAUACGUAGGCAGCAAGCGUUGUUCGGAGUUACUGGGCGUAAAGGGUGCGUAGGCGGCUUUUUAAGUUUGGUGUGAAAUCUCCUGGCUUAACCGGGAGGGUGCGCCGAAUACUGAGAAGCUAGAGUAUGGGAGAGGAAAGUGGAAUUCCUGGUGUAGCGGUGAAAUGCGUAGAUAUCAGGAGGAACACCUGUGGUGUAGACGGCUUUCUGGACCAUAACUGACGCUGAGGCACGAAAGCGUGGGUAGCAAACAGGAUUAGAUACCCUAGUAGUCC
rnacentral:rRNA from 1 species